GACGAACGCUGGCGGCGUGCCUAAUACAUGCAAGUCGAGCGGACCAAAGGGAGCUUGCUCCUGGAGGUUAGCGGCGAACGGGUGAGUAACACGUGGGCAACCUGCCUGUAAGACUGGGAUAACAUCGAGAAAUCGGUGCUAAAUACCGGAUAAUAAAAAGAACUGCAUGGUUCUUUUUUGAAAGGUGGUUUCGGCUAUCACUUACAGAUGGGCCCGCGGCGCAUUAGCUAGUUGGUGGGGUAACGGCUCACCAAGGCGACGAUGCGUAGCCGACCUGAGAGGGUGAUCGGCCACACUGGGACUGAGACACGGCCCAGACUCCUACGGGAGGCAGCAGUGGGGAAUCUUCCGCAAUGGACGAAAGUCUGACGGAGCAACGCCGCGUGAGUGAUGAAGGUUUUCGGAUCGUAAAACUCUGUUGUUAGGGAAGAACAAGUGCCGUUCGAAAGGGCGGCACCUUGACGGUACCUAACGAGAAAGCCACGGCUAACUACGUGCCAGCAGCCGCGGUAAAGUACAGU
rnacentral:rRNA from 1 species